UUUGAAUAGCCUGAGUGAAAGAAGGCUAUGCUGUUCUUCAGGAGAUGAAGAAGAAAGGGUUGAAUCCUGAUGUCUCGUCUUAUAAUUAUGUGAUGGAAGCGUGUUGUAAGGAGGAUUUACUGCGCCCUGCGAGGAAGCUCUGGGAUGAGAUGUUUGCGAGUGGAUGUUGUGGGAAUUUGAAAACAUAUAAUGUUUUGAUUCACAAGUUUUUGAAAGAGGGGCUAAUUGAAGAGGCUCGGACGUUGUUUAAUCGCAUGGUGGACAAGGGAGUUGAACCUGAUAGUGCGAGUUACACUUUUCUCUUACAAGGGUUCUGCCAAGAAGAUAAACUUGAAGAAGCUUUUGAGCUCUAUAGCAGGUCUGUCAGACAGGAUAUCACCAUUGCAAGAGACAUUUUGGGCUCAUUUAUAUUGUCACUCUGCAAGAAAGGACAUAUGACAGCUGCUUCAAAAUUACUCUGCAGUCUCAAUCAUGAUAUAGGACGCCCAGAAUCGCACGUGGCUUUUGUUGAAAUGUUUGGCAGAUGCAAGAGAGAUUCAAACUGCUAUUGAGCAUUUGAGGUGGGUUCAGCACAAGUCACCUUCAAUGCUACAAGAUAUAUGUACCGGACUUUUAGCUUCCAUUUCUGUUGCUAAAUGCCCGGAGCCGAUAUUGCAGUUUCUUCAAAGAAUGCAAGGUGUGUUUUGAUUUCAUGCGUAAGAGUACUUUGAAGGUUAUGUGCUACCGAUAAUUACUAUUUGAGAAGACAUUUGGAUUUGAGUGCCAUUGGUAACUAGCCUUCUUCACUAGUGACAGGCUAAACGAAGACAUGAAAAAUGUAAACAAUCCCAGCCUGGGGUUGAAGCUACCAAAGAGCGCAUCAUAAUUGAAUUUUCCAACCAACACACACAGACCUGGUUUACGUUAUGAAAUUCCUGCAUUUCUCACUGAACUUCACUGCAAUGUCGUGGCUGCUGAGAUGUGGACACAUAAUGAUAAGGCGGAAACUGUAGUUCAUGUGACAAAUGAUUUUUGAGUGAUGAAGUGGUUGUUGCAUGAAUCAGAAUGGUUGAGAUUGAGAGAUAUGGUUGGACUUUUGUAAAGAUAUGAUGGAGAUGUAUUUAGGAAGAGAAAUGAUAUUUGUACAAUCAUUUUAUAACAACUUUUGUGACAACUUUAUCUCUAAUACACACAUUAUAUUUUGA